UACGUAGGGGGCAAGCGUUGUCCGGAUUUAUUGGGCGUAAAGAGCGUGUAGGCGGCCAGGUAGGUCUGCUGUGAAAACUCGAGGCUCAACCUCGAGACGUCGGCGGAAACCAUCUGGCUAGAGUCCGGAAGAGGAGACUGGAAUUUACGGUGUAGCGGUGAAAUGCGUAGAUAUCGUAAGGAAGACCAGUGGCGAAGGCGGGUCUCUAGACAGUUCCUGACGCUGAGGCACGAAGGUCAGGGGAGCAAACGGG
rnacentral:rRNA from 1 species